rnacentral:rRNA from 1 species
AUUGAACGCUGGCGGCAGGCCUAACACAUGCAAGUCGAACGAGUGGCGGACGGGUGAGUAAUGUCUGGGAAACUGCCUGAUGGAGGGGGAUAACUACUGGAAACGGUAGCUAAUACCGCAUACCAUCGGAUGUGCCCAUAUGGGAUUAGCUAGUAGGUGGGGUAAAGGCUCACCUAGGCGACGAUCCCUAGCUGGUCUGAGAGGAUGACUAGCCAGACUGAGACGGAGACACGGUCCAGACUCCUACGGGAGGCAGCAGUGGGGAAGAUUGCACAAGGGGCGGAAGCCUGAUGCAGCCAGGCCGCGAGUAUGAAGAAGGCCUUCGGGUUGUAAAGUACUGUCAGCGGGGAGGCGUUACCCGCAGAAGAAGCACCGGCUAACUCCGUGCCAGCAGCCGCGGUAAUUC